CAAUUGGUGGUGUAGUGGUUAAGUCGGCCGGCUGUCAACCUCGGGUUCCGUGGUUCGAUUCCCGGCCUAAUCA
rnacentral:tRNA from 1 species